GACAGAGGGGGCAAGCGUUGCUCGGAAUUACUGGGCGUAAAGGGCGCGUAGGCGGGAUGGCAAGUCGGUCGUGAAAUCCCUCGGCUCAACUGAGGAUCGUCGAUCGAUACUGCCGUUCUUGAGGAUUGCAGAGGAGACUGGAAUUCCCGGUGUAGCGGUGAAAUGUGUAGAGAUCGGGAGGAACACCGGUGGCGAAGGCGGGUCUCUGGGCAAUUCCUGACGCUGAGGCACGAAGGCCAGGGGAGCAAACGGG
rnacentral:rRNA from 1 species